rnacentral:rRNA from 1 species
GACGAACGCUGGCGGCGUGCUUAACACAUGCAAGUCGAGCGGUAAGGCCCUUUCGGGGGUACACGAGCGGCGAACGGGUGAGUAACACGUGGGUGACCUGCCCUCAGCUCUGGGAUAAGCCUGGGAAACCGGGUCUAAUACCGGAUAUGACUCCAUGACGCAUGUUGUGGGGUGGAAAGCCUUGUGCGGCUGAGGAUGGGCCCGCGGCCUAUCAGCUUGUUGGUGGGGUGAUGACCUACCAAGGCGACGACGGGUAGCCGGCCUGAGAGGGCGACCGGCCACACUGGGACUGAGACACGGCCCAGACUCCUACGGGAGGCAGCAGUGGGGAAUCUUGCGCAAUGGGCGAAAGCCUGACGCAGCGACGCCGCGUGAGGGAUGACGGCCUCGGUU